CAAUAAAAGUAUCAAGAAGCUUAUCAGCCGCGGUAAACGCCCCUGAUGAGUUAGGUGUCGUUCAAGGCAACUGGACCGAAGAUUUUUCCGGCGGCACCGCACCCAUUAAUUGGCUGGGAAGCGUAGACAUUUUAAAUCAAUACAUUAAAACAAAAAAACCUGUC